UAGAAAGUAGUGUCACAGGAAGCACGAAGAGUUUUGAUCUCUUAAGUGGAGAUUCAAAUCCUCCCUCUCUAA
rnacentral:tRNA from 1 species